rnacentral:rRNA from 1 species
CCUCGUAGGUGAACCUGCGGAAGGAUCAUUA